rnacentral:rRNA from 1 species
GACGAACGCUGGCGGCGUGCCUAAUACAUGCAAGUAGAACGCUGAAGCGAGGAGCUUACUCUUCUUGGAUGAGUUGCGAACGGGUGAGUAACGCGUAGGUAACCUGCCUUGUAGCGGGGGAUAACUAUUGGAAACGAUAGCUAAUACCGCAUAACACUGGAUGACACAUGUCAUUUAUUUGAAAGGGGCAAUUGCUCCACUACAAGAUGGACCUGCGUUGUAUUAGCUAGUAGGUGAGGUAAUGGCUCACCUAGGCGACGCUACAUAGCCGACCUGAGAGGGUGAGCGGCCACAAUGGGAAUGAGACACGGCCCAGACUCCCACGGGAGGCAGCAGUAGGGAAACUUCGGCAAUGGGGGCAACCCUGACCGAGCAACGCCGCGUGAGUGAAGAAGGUUUUCGGAUCGUAAAGCUCUGUUGUAAGUCAAGAACGGGUGUGAGAGUGGAAAGUUCACACUGUGACGGUAGCUUACCAGAAAGGGACGGCUAACUACGUG